rnacentral:lncRNA from 1 species
AAAAAGGAAAGUGACAAAAAACCUUAACUCCGAGGACUUUUUAAUUUUUUUAUUCGAGCGUCACUGAUAUGUCUGUAGACGAAACGUGGUCUGGUGUGCAGAAUGGUAAUCCUAGUAUCUAUGAUGAAUUUAUUUACGAUAGAAAUUAUAAAACUAUUAUCUCAUUCGGUUUUACGAAGAAAAAAAAUGUAAAAGGGGGGCAAGGAGAAUGCAAUGAGUUUGGAUUCACAUGUUGGUGUUGCAUUUAUUUCAUAAGACGCAUAACCUGUCAAAGCAUCCAGUCUUGAUCUUUUUUUGUUAUUUGCAAUAUCUUAUUUCUUGCUCUAUGGCAAAGUUACGGGUGUCAAGUUUAUUCAAGAUUAUAAGACAGAUAAGAUAUAUAAGAAACAUAUUAUAAAAAAUAAGUUUUGAACCACAUAGAAAACAUAAAUUGCAAGCUCUCAAG